AACAAGUCAGACCAAACAUUUUAUUCUACCAUCGACUAAUAGACCAAUCUUGGAAUUGCGUCCAAGUAUUUGAAACACAGUUUGGAGUUUGUCUAUUGAUAGUUUUCUUAUACCUCUGUAUGUAUAAAUAAUACGUGUAUAUUUUUAUAUAUGUUGUACAUGUACAUGUAUGUAUAAUGUUUCUAGUUAGGUUAUAUCUAGCUCCACGUUUAUGUAUGCACGAUAAUAAUCAAGCAACGCUUUGGAGUAAAUGCUAGUAAUUUGGUAUCCAGGCUAGUUCAUUCCUUUUCCAGCUGAAAAUAAAUGAAUAUUCCUUCCGAUAGGUAUCCCACACGCAUAGAUACCAGUCGAUGUUGUAUAGGUUACGCGUCUCGACUAUGCUCGCGUUCCACCGCAUCUAUUUAAGGUUCGCCCGGCUGGCUAUACAUAGAAUCCUCGGUCAGCUCGGUUCCGCGUCCAAACUCCUCUCGUAUCCCUCUGUCUAUCUUUCCAAUGAUGUAUGUGAAUAUACCUAUGGGUGGAGACAGUGGAUGACUGUAAUGUAUAGGUAUAUACAUGUGUGUUCAUGAUUGGAAAUCUGCGUAUAUGUAUGUGAGUAUAAAUAAUUGUAGAUGUACAUGUGGAUAAAUAGUAUGAAUGUAGAUAUAUACUUUUGUUCGUAAGUUAUUCGAUAUCUAGUACAUUGAGGAUAAGAAUAAAUUUUGUUACAAUUAUGAAAGGGAAUUGACACUUGUUAACCAUUUAUAUUACAAAACAAACUGUAUUAUAUUAUAAUUAUCAUAUAUCUUAAAACUUUGACACAAACUUUAUCAUUUUAAAUAUUUUCUUUAAAAUUAGCGAGUGACUGAUGGAUGAGUAUAAAUAUAAGAAAUGUACACGUGUAGGUACGAUUUGAUGGAUAGAAAGAGGGUUGAUGACUGUCGGAAGCGAAAGGGCGCGAUUCUAACCUCCAAGUUUAAACUCGCUGAAAGGGAUGGAUGAAUAGACACGACGCGAUUAAGUGGGUAUCGAGUCAUUGUAUCGCGAUAAUAGCAGCACUGGUAUCGAUGAUCGGUCUGUGGAAAGUCGUGAUAACGCUCAACCAAUCAGGACAAAGAUAACAAGGGAUUCUGUGUCGAGGAUUCUUCAAGAUAACCGAGAGUAACCUGUGCUGGAUGAUUUUUAGAUGGACUGUCGAGCGUAUCCACCUUUAUAGAAAAGCAGACAUAGAAGAAAAUAAAAAGUUUAACAAAUCUAAUUUAAAUUGCGUAUGAAUAUAUUCGUAUUGUUGCUGCAAGUAUAGUUGAUUGAAAAAAUCUGGAGCUAGAUAUUUUUGAAAAUUUAGUUUUGGAAUACAGGACGCCUUUUUAUUUAAACUA